rnacentral:rRNA from 1 species
GUAGGGAAUAUUGCGCAAUGGGGGAAACCCUGACGCAGCGACGCCGCGUGAGUGAUGAAGGCCUUCGGGUCGUAAAGCUCUGUUGCAGGGGAAUAAAAAAAUGAAGGUACCCUGUGAGGAAGGAUCGGCUAACUUCGUGCCAGCAGCCGCGGUAAGACGAGGGAUCCUAGCGUUGCUCGGAAUCAUUGGGCGUAAAGAGGGCGUAGGUGGCUUGGUAAGUCAGGUGUGAAAGCCCAGGGCUCAACCCUGGAAGUGCAUUUGAUACUGCUGAGCUUGAGUGUCGGAGAGGUUACCGGAAUACCUGGUGUAGUGGUGAAAUACGUAGAUAUCAGGUGGAACACCGGAGGCGAAGGCGGGUAACUGGACGAACACUGACACUGAGGCCCGAAAGCGUGGGGAUCAAACAGGAUUAGAUACCCGAGUAGUCC